GUUUCAGCAGCCGCGGUAAUACGUAGGCAGCGAGCGUUGUUCGGAGUUACUGGGCGUAAAGGGUGUGUAGGCGGUUCUCUAAGUUUGGUGUGAAAUCUCCCGGCUUAACCGGGAGGGUGCGCCGAAAACUGGAAGGCUAGAGUGCGGGAUGGGAGAGUAGAAUUCCUGGUGUAGCGGUGAAAUGCGUAGAUAUCAGGAGGAAUACCGGUGGUGUAGACGGCUCUCUGGACCGCGACUGACGCUGAGACACGAAAGCGUGGGUAGCAAACAGGAUUAGAUACCCCUGUAGUCC
rnacentral:rRNA from 1 species